GAAGAGUGGCGAACGGGUGAGUAACACGUGGGUAACCUACCCAUCAGCGGGGGAUAACACUUGGAAACAGGUGCUAAUACCGCAUAAUCGUUUUUCUCCGCCUGGAGAAAGAGUGAAAGGCGCUUUUGCGUCACUGAUGGAUGGACCCGCGCUGCAUUAGCUAGUUCGGUGAGGUAACGGCUCACCGAAGGCCACGAUGCAUAGCCGACCUGAGAGGGUGAUCGGCCACACUGGGACUGAGACACGGCCCAGACUCCUACGGGAGGCAGCAGUAGGGAAUCUUCCGCAAUGGACGAAAGUCUGACGGAGCAACGCCGCGUGAGUGAAAAGAAGGUUUUCGGAUCGUAAAACUCUGUUGUCAGAGAAGAACAAGUUGGAGAGUAACUGCUCCAGCCUUGACGGUAUCUGACCAGAAAGCCACGGCUAACUACGUGCCAGCCGCCGC
rnacentral:rRNA from 1 species